UUAAAAUAAAGUAAAAUUAAAAUUUAAUUAAAUUGUAAAUAUAAAUACAAAAAUAUAAAAAUAUAUAAAAUGCAUAAAAUGCUAAUAAUAUUAAAAUGAAAUAACAUAAAAAUACGAGCAUUAAAUUAAAAGAGAAAUAAAUAAAAUUACCGAAAAAUCUAAAACACGAGCUUCGCCGAACGGGUUGCUAAAAUUGAACCCCCUUUUUCUUCCUUUUUUCUUUUUUUCUUUUUUCUUUUUUUCUUUUUUCCUUUUUUCUUCUUUUUCUUCCUUUUUUUUUUCUGCUGGGCUGCCUUGUUGGGCUGGCUUGCGCGGGCCUGCUGGUUGGUGGCCUGUUGGCUGCUUGUUGGGCUGCUGGAAUUGGGCCUAUUGUUGGCCUGCCC
rnacentral:lncRNA from 1 species